UACGUAGGGGGCUAGCGUUGUCCGGAAUCAUUGGGCGUAAAGCGCGUGUAGGCGGUUCGGUAAGUCCGCUGUGAAAGUCGGGGGCUCAACCCUCGAAUGCCGGUGGAUACUGUCGGGCUAGAGUGCGGAAGAGGCGAGUGGAAUUCCUGGUGUAGCGGUGAAAUGCGCAGAUAUCAAGAGGAACACCAGUGGCGAAGGCGAGUCCCUGGACAACACCUGACACUGAGGCACGAAAGCUAGGGGAGCAAACAGG
rnacentral:rRNA from 1 species